rnacentral:rRNA from 1 species
GAUGAACGCUAGCUACAGGCUUAACACAUGCAAGUCGCGGGGCAGCAUGGGGGUUGCUUGCAAUCCCCGAUGGCGACCGGCGCACGGGUGAGUAACGCGUAUCCAACCUGCCCUUCACCACGGGAUAGCCCGGCGAAAGUCGGACUAAUACCGUAUGUUGUCCAUUGACGGCAUCCGAUUUGGACGAAAGGUGUGGCGGUGAAGGAUGGGGAUGCGUCCGAUUAGCUGGACGGCGGGGUGACGGCCCACCGUGGCGACGAUCGGUAGGGGUUCUGAGAGGAAGGUCCCCCACACUGGAACUGAGACACGGUCCAGACUCCUACGGGAGGCAGCAGUGAGGAAUAUUGGUCAAUGGGCGUAAGCCUGAACCAGCCAAGUAGCGUGCAGGAGGACGGCCCUAUGGGUUGUAAACUGCUUUUAUGCGGGGAUAAAGUGGCCCACGUGUGGGUUUUUGCAGGUACCGCAUGAAUAAGGACCGGCUAAUUCCGUG